CUCAACGCGAGCUCACAUCAAAAGCAGGUGAUACGCGUAGAUUAAUAAUUAAUUUUCCAGCACAAGAAAAGCAUUUGAAUUUCGCAAUGAAAUUUAUAUUAAAGUGGCACUUUUAAAUCGCGAAACAAAUAUAGAGAAAAACAAAGAUUUCAAUAUUAGUCGUGCUUGAAACGCAAAUGGCGCGUUACAAGAUUGUCUUCUACAUUUUUGCUCAAAAUGUUCAGCUUAUCAAAAUCAUCAACUUUUCCUUCUUCGCUGAAAAUUUAUUUGCGUAUCGUUAAUUUGAGAAAAUGUUUGAAACAAUGAGACGAUCGAAAAACGCGGCGAAAACUAUUUUUCUUGUUGUUAUUUUGUUUUAUGUUUUAUUUUAUUUAAAUUUAUGUCUGUACAAUUCAUUUGGCUCUUCCAGAAUGAAAGAGACUGUCACAUUUUCCAAAAUUUUUACUCCCGAAAGCCCAAAAUUUGGAGCUUUUGGAGUUUCGAACGCAGGCGAUAUUUAUACUAGCAAUUUACAAUCAGGAAGUAACAUAUCAAAAUCCGUUUUGGAGAGUCAAAAAUUUGACGCAGAUCGUCGAACUUUUAGCCAAUACGAUCCUGUUGAUCCGAAUCGGUUAUCGGAAAAUGCAAUUAACGUCUCUAGAUUACAACUCGACGCUCUUGCGUACUCUCGCUGUAUCGAAGAGUUCAAAUAUUUUUACCGAGUUCAAAUAUUACAUAAUGUUAUAAUUGACCCAAAUGAAGGUCAAAUUUCGAAAGAAAAUCGCGGUGAGUUUUUCUCAUUUACGGAAAAGUUUAUGACAAUGCUUUGUAUACAUCAUUUGCCUCAUCGACUAGUUCAUCAGACGAAGUAUUUCAAAGCUAUGUCUGUUGUUUCAACCGAAUUCGCCAAAAAACUUUCGAAGACUAAAAACCACGCGUACGAAUGGAUGAUUGCAGUCGUGAGAGAAGAAUACGCAAAUGCCUAUUGGAUGGUCAUGGACGUGUUCGACCUAUUUCAUAUCAUUCGGGCCAUAGAUAAAAGCGUCCAGGUCAUACUACUCGAUAACCAUCCGAAAUCAACUAUGGACCAAUUAUGGCGAAUUUAUUUCGACGAUGUUCUGUAUUUGCCAAGUUUGAAAAUCUCAAACGGUGUAGACCCUUCAAAAUCUUUAGUUUUCGCUGAGAACUUGAUUUUCAGACCGAAUCGACAAGGAAGCGUUUUUAAAAAUCAAAUGCAAACCGGUUCAAUUUCUUUUAGUCAGUUUCGAAAUGAAGGUUAUCAGAAAGUAGGCGUAAGAUUAGAGGCCAGAAACUGUUCGCGUUUACGGGUUACAAUAGUUUGGCGGAGAAAUUACGUCAACCAUGCUGGAAAUCCGCAAGGAGAAAUUAAGCGAAAAAUAACAAAUGAGCAAGAAGUUAUGCAAGCUAUCAGGUCGUUUAAAAACGUCGAAAUCACAGAAGCUUCUUUGGAACUCAUGUCUGUGAAAGAGCAAAUACAUCUAAUGAGUCGGACUGAUGUUUUCUUCGGAGUCCAUGGUGCUGGCCAUACUAUGGCUGUUUACAUGCCGCCAGGAGGUAUGGUCGUUGAAAUCACAACUCCUAGUAAAAGGUCAAAUGGUCACAUGAAGCAAGUGGCCGUGAAUGCGGGUCAAAGUCACAUUCUUCACGUUCUGUCUCCCAGCAGAAAAGAAGCCUCGACUGACUCGAGUUAUUACGUAAGACCGGACGUGGUUCGAUCGCUGAUGGAGAAAUCUGUUCACCAGACGUGUGAUUACAACUGAACAAAAACACCUGAAGAAAUCCAAAACAUUCGGUUUUCAUUGAUGCGACAUUGAACUUAAAUGUUUUUCAACUCGAUUUUGGAAAGUGUUAAUAGGCGCCCGAAAACUCAAUCUGGAGAAAAUUGUUCAAAAA